rnacentral:lncRNA from 1 species
CCAAUUUUCCUUUUAUCAAUCCAUUAAAACAUGAUCAAAUUCAUUCCUCAAACCACCCAAGCCGAAUCGCCAAACAUCAUGAUCAACAUCAACAAAAAUCUAAAAAGCAUAAUCACACCAUACAUAAUCACAACCAAUUCAACACACCAAGAUAAAUAAAAAGAUAACAGGUUAAGAAAAUGGACCUCGAUAGCACUUGUUUUCAUUGAUAAUAAAGAAACCCGAGACCGAAAUAUUCGAACGGAGAACCUCAACAGUGAAUCCCAACUCAGUAACCCGAGAUCCUCCGACGGACAGAUUCGGGAAUCAAACAAACACCUCAAAACAAACAACUCCGGCUUGGUAUUGAAAACCAACAACGAAAUCCGAACCCAAUUCUCGACAGAAGAACUAAGAAACUCCAAUAGACUAAACUCAGGUGAGUCAAUAGUAACCAAUCCGAUGAGAACAAGAUGAAUUCCGUUGAAGUCUUGGCGUUUUCCGAUCGAGACUGCCUAUAAGUCACCGGAAAUGCAGAAAUCUCGAAGUUUUGGGACGGUACCGAAUAGACGAUGAAUUAUAAACUAAUUCCGGCAGAAAAUUCAUCAGAAAAACUCUAGAAAAUACAACCAUAUCUCGCCGACCUCUCUCUAUUUUUUUCAGAUCGACGUCAACCACGGUGAUUUCACUGUUCGUCUCCGCUGAGUGCGUGUGUGUGGUUUUUUAGCGAUUUGGGUGUAUGUUUGUGUAUUCGUGUACCUACGUGUGCCUAUGAACGAUGGUGAAGGUGAGUGCCUUUUGGUUUUGUGCGUGAGUGGUGAGGUCAAUGAAGAAGAUGAUCUAUUUCUCUUUUUUUAGUGUUGUGCCUCUAUUCCUCCUUUUAGAAGAUGAAAAAAAAUGGUGUAUAUCAGUUGGGUUCCCUUUUUUGUGUGUUGAUGUAUGGGACACGUGAGUGUGGUGAGGGGGUAGGGAUAGGGUAGGUGAGGGUAUGGGUAUGGGGUGGAGAGGUUUGAGGUGUCCACUUUUAAUUGGAGAGGUUGUUAGGAUAGGAUUAAAACAAUGUAAAAUUUUGUUAAGGGUUGUUAUUUUUGUCAUUUUAUGGAGGGAUAAUCACGUGGAUGAGAGUGUGUGGUAAUGUGAGAUAAAAAUGAAUAAAAUUGGACUUAGAAGGGAUAAAAUUAGGUGUCUACAGCAUGCCCCAUUCGAAUGUAAACAUGAAGUGUUUUCAGACAAAGAAGUAGACAACGAGACAGAAUUUUAUCCCGACCAUUAUUAAAGAAUGAAACAGAAGGAAGGAGGGACUCCAAGUCUUGAAUUAGGACAUCCUACCUACCCAAGUUGUGAGGGAAUCAAGUGACAGGUAUUUCAAAGGAUUGGAAGGAGAUGGACUAUAACGAGUUGGAGAGUCGAGUGAGGUCCCAUCGAGGUUCCGAUUGAGGCUCUGUUAUUACACCAGAAAUGAAAAUUACAAGUUAACACCUAAAUGAAAUUACAAAAAUCCUAUCUAUGCAGCUUCUUUUGGGACUCUUGCCUUGAGUUUCAUCACCCUAUUCUUCAGGCGGGCUCCUGACUUGCUAUUUUUCAAUUUGUUGACUUUCAAUUUAUUCACUUUGUUGCUUGACUUUUAACUUCUUCACCUUGUUGGUUGGUUUUCCAUUUAUUCGCCCUAUGCUUCGGCUUUCAAUUUCUUCACUUUGUUGCUUGACUUUCAAUUUCAUCACCCUAUUCUUCAGGCGGGCUCCUGACUUGCCAUUUCACCACCCUGUUCUUCAGGCUAGCUCCUGACUUGCCAUUUCAUCGCCCUGUUCUUCAGGCGAACUCCUGACUUGCAAUUUCAUCACCCUGUUCUUCAGGCGGGCUCCUGAUACCAAAAAUCCAAACUAGAACAAAAUUAUUCUAAACAAUCAUUAUGAUAAAGAAAGAUUCCAUGUUUUCUGAACAUAAAGUAAAUUCCCAUUUUCCAGGAGGGUCCUGAACAUAAAGUAAAUUCUCAUUUUUCAGGAGGGUCCUGAACAGAAAGUAAAAUCUCAUUUUUCAGGAGGGUCCUGAACAUAAGGUAAAGUUCCAAUUUUCAGGAGGGUCCUGAACUGAAAGUAAAUUCUCAUUUUUUAGGAGGGUCCUGAACAUAAGUAAAAUUUCAUUUUUCAGGAGGGUCCUGGACAUAAAGUAAAUUCUCAUUUUUUCAGGAGGGUCCUGAACAGAAAGUAAAAUCCCAUUUUCCAGGAGGGUCCUGAACAGAAAGUAACUUUUCAUUUUCCAGGAGGGUCCUGAACAAAAAGUAAAAUCUCAUUUUUCAGGAGAGUCCUGAACAUAAAGUAAAAUUCUAUUUUUCAGGAGGGUUCUGAACUGAAAGUAAAUUUUCAUUUUACAGGAGGGUCCUGAACAGAAAGUAAAAUCUUAUUUUUCAGGAGAGUCCUAAACAUAAAGUAAAAUUCCAUUUUUCAGGAGGGUCCUGAACUGAAAGUAAAUUCUCAUUUUUCGGGAGGGUCCUGAACAUAAGUAAAAACCCCAUUUUUUUAGGAGGGUUCUGAACAAAAAGUAAAAUCCCUAAACAGAAACUAUUUUUUUUGGCCCAGUUUAUCAUCAGAAGACUUCUGGAAAAGUCACAUCAUACCUACUUGCAUGUUGCAAUAAUGAAUCAAGACUCUGACUAAGAAAUACAUCUCUUGAGAGUAUAAUUGAAUAAGCAAGACUAGGAAGUGCGUCUCCUAAGAAUUAAAGUGAGGGAUUCUAACUAGAAAGUGUGUCUUCUAGAGAUACAAGUUUAAGUUAAAAGUGUGUCACCUGACAAAUGAAAACUAGUAAAGAAGUGUGUCUCCUAAGGAUUAAGUGCAAUAAUUCGACUAGAAAGUGCAUUUUCUAGAAAUCAAGACUCAAGUUAGGAAUUGCAUCACCUAAAAAUCAGAAUUCAAAAUACCCAAUCAAGGAAGUGCAUCUCCUUACCAAUGUUGCUUGAAUUAUCAAAACAAGGAAGUGCAUCUCCUUACCAAUGCCGCUUGAAUUACUCAAACAAGGAAGUACGUCUCCUCACAAGUGCUUCUCGAAUUGACCAAACAAGGAAGUGCAUCUCAUUAAAAAUGUUUUCAUGAAUUAACCAAACAAGAAAGUGCUUCUCCUUAGAAAUAUUUCUCGAAUUUUCUAAACAAGAAAGUGCAUCUCCUUACAAAUGUUGCUUGAAUUAAUCGAACAAGGAAGUGUGUCUCCUUUGGAAGUGUGUUUCCUUAUGAUAGCGCUUUAAUUAAGGAAGUGCAUCUCCUUACAAAUGUUUCUCGAAUUGCCCAAACCAGGAAGUGCGUCUCCUUACAAAUGUUGCUUGAAUUGUCCAAACAAGAAAGUACGUCUCCUUACAAAUGUUGCUUGAAUUACCCAAAUAAGAAAGUGUGUCUCCUUAUCAAAUGCCGCUUGAAUUACCCAAACAAGUAAGUGCGUCUCCUUACAAAUGUUGCUGAAAUUACCCGAAUAAGGAGGUGCGUCUCCUUACAAGUGUCAAUCGAAUUACCAAACAAGGAAGUGCGUCUCCUUACAAAUGUUGAUCGAAUUACCAAAUAAGGAAGUGCGUCUCCUAACAAAUGUCUCUUGAAUUACUCAAAUAAGGAAGUGUGUCUCUUCACAAAUGUUUCUUGAAUUAACCAAAUAAGGAAGUGCUUCUCUUUACAAAUGUUGCUCGAAUUGCCUAAACAAGGAAGUGCGUCUCCUAGAAAUCUUGAAUUAUGAGUUUUACUAUGGCUUUGAAUACCAAAUAUGUGCAGAAAUAUUGUCUCCUUCAUUUGUGGAAGUGCGGUAUUGCAACUUUCAAUGUUUAGGCUUUGAAAUCCUUGAUUUGAAGGUAACAUGUGUUCCUAUUUCAUACAAAGAAAACUUGUUAGUUUAAAAACACGGUGGCUAGUUUGUGGCUUUGGCUUUCGUGGAAAUCGCUCUUGCCCCAGUCGCAUUUAAUCUUGCUUUCAACCAUUAGCAUGUGUCACUGGCUUGCUGUAUCAUUGACCCGAACUCAGAUUAUUAAAAGUGACUCUGAAACAAAUAUAGUAUCCCUGUUUUGUCAUACUUCUUAGAUAAACCCUUUGAACCUUGGUAUUUUCAUGAGUUCCCAGACUUGUCGGUUGACAAAACUUUCUGCAUGCCUUGUUUUGACUCACAAUCAUGUCUUUAGCAUGUGCUGGCCCUUUUGUCUUGCUUUGUGCAAUUGAAGAAACUGGUAGCCAGUUUUGAAAUCUUUCUCACUUAUUUUGACACGAACUUGACUCAAAGACAAGAGAAAAAUGACAAUGAUUUUAAUUUGGAUAACUGACUCAAGAAAGAUAAAAAAUGUAAAGAGGAAAGAAAAGACAAUGAAUGUCCCCAUUUGAAACAAAGAAAUGAAAAAUUUAUCUAAAAAUGACAGUCAACUCUAAUGAUUAUGCCAUGCAUUUUGGAUUAAUCUACCUGAUCUUUCCAUCCACAUUUUCUACCAGUUGUUGUUGGGUUAAUGGCCUUGAAACUGAGUUGUUUCCUUGGGACAAUUACAUUUGGAGACCUGAUUCGGCUAGUGGCACCUUGAAGGGUUUUUGCCAACAAACCUCUCUUAUUUUUAUCUCAGCUCACCAUCGUCUUAUGGUGCCCGUAAGGGUUUUCAUCGAGAAGACUCUCAUUUUUAUUUCUCUCAACUUACCAUCGCCUUACAGUGCCUGUGAGGGUUUUCACCAAUAAGACUCUCAUUUUUAUUUCUCUCUUGAUUCCUUGUGUUGAGGAAGACAAGUAGUUCCCAAAUACAUCAUCAUAUCCCUUGCAUGCUUUGCCUUAACAUCCCCAAAGAUUGAUCUGAAGGUCUUUCUUUGGUUGUAACUUGGCUUUUGGAUAGGGUUAGAAAGAAAGGAUGGCAUGAGGCCCAAACGACACUUGAAGUGGGUUAGGAUUACAAUUUUUGGAAUCGACUCAAACAAUGAGGAUUAACUCAUGNNNNNNNNNNNNNNNNNNNNNNNNNNNNNNNNNNNNNNNNNNNNNNNNNNNNNNNNNNNNNNNNNNNNNNNNNNNNNNNNNNNNNNNNNNNNNNNNNNNNNNNNNNNNNNNNNNNNNNNNNNNNNNNNNNNNNNNNNNNNNNNNNNNNNNNNNNNNNNNNNNNNNNNNNNNNNNNNNNNNNNNNNNNNNNNNNNNNNNNNNNNNNNNNNNNNNNNNNNNNNNNNNNNNNNNNNNNNNNNNNNNNNNNNNNNNNNNNNNNNNNNNNNNNNNNNNNNNNNNNNNNNNNNNNNNNNNNNNNNNNNNNNNNNNNNNNNNNNNNNNNNNNNNNNNNNNNNNNNNNNNNNNNNNNNNNNNNNNNNNNNNNNNNNNNNNNNNNNNNNNNNNNNNNNNNNNNNNNNNNNNNNNGCUCAAAUAGGGUAAACAAAGGAUGACACGAUGUUUGGAUAGCAGAAUGAAAUGUCUUCGUCAUAUCAAUCCUUGAAAAUGCAAGUACAUAUCAUGUAAUAUGAAAGUGAGAGAUGAAGAUCAUUUACGAUAUCUUUUUAAGCAGAUUGAGUCUGUGCGUCACUACUUCUUCUACAAACUCCGCCUUUGUUGUACAUUCCUCACACCGAAUGACUCAUGCUUUCGUGGAGCAGCUUAUCUUCUUGUUUCUCUUGAUAUUGGGAUCACACGUCCACUAUUUGACCUAAUUGGGACUUGCCUUUCGAUCGAUGACCAAGUUGUUCUUGUGAUUCUCAAAAUAAUUGCCUUAAUUUAUCACCAAAUGUCUCAGCACUCUAUCUAUUUUCUCAUAUGCUCUCUUUUUCUAACUUUAACCCUUUGAUUCAAUGUUCAUGCUUAAAAUGGAUUUUAAGAUCUGGCUGAAAAUUUCACUAGCAUGUCAUAUCACUAGAGUCAACACAAAAUGUACUAUGUAAAGAAAACAAACAAACAACACAUAUUUAAAACACAAAGGAAAAUGAGACACUUCAUUUAGUCUAAACUAAAGAUAGAAGAGUUUGAACAUAAACAACAAAAGGACAAAACAAGACAGAUCCCGAAUUACAACCCUGAAAUAAUUCGGAGAACAGAAAAUAAAACAAAACAAGCUACCAAACCCCUUCCUAGUAAGGAGAGGGGUGACUCUCAAUUGCGCAGCCUGACAUCUUAGCCACUGGUUUGCAUAUCAGCAUGACUAGAGUUUUCCUCACUGUCAAUGUUCUGCACCAUGAUUGAUUUAUCUUGAAUCAUCUUUUCAAUUUCUCUUUUCAAAGCAUGACAAUCUUCAAUAGUGUGACCCUAAAUAUCGGAAUGAUAUGUACAUCAUACAUUAGGAUUAAAACUUCUUGAAUGUGGGUCAGGAGUAUACCCAAGGAGAGGAGUGUGAUCAUGCUGCUGUACCAAUCUCUGGAAUAAACUUACAUACGACUCUCCAAUGGGUGUGAAGCUAUCUCUCGACUUCUGUCUCAUUUCAUUAUUUGGCUUAAAUUGAAAACAAGGCCUAGAAGGGUUUCGAUAUGUAUGCGGAAUUAGAGGAUAACUCGGCAGAGUUGGCGCGCACCAGUGUGGGUAAGAUGGGGGUUGAACAUAUGGUUGCACAUUAUACACUUGAUAUGGAGAUGGGGAAACGGAAUAUAAUGAAUUUUGGGAAGGAUUCUGUGGAACUUGGCCAUAAACUUGGGUUUGAGCUCGUGGGUAACGAUGGUAUGGUCCUCUUGCCCGUGCCUGUUGUCCAACUAUAAUAGCAGAUGCAUUUUUCUUUCCUCCAACACUUCCCGAACCUUUUUGAAUUGCUUGAGUAGUCUCUUUCAAUGUUGCAAAACUCACAAUGCGACCAGUCUUAAUUCCAUCCUCUAUCAUCUCCCUCAUUUUGAGGACCUCAAUAAAUGGCUUGCCUAAUGUAGGUAACAAGUGUUGAUAAUAUAUUUCAUAUUGCUCUUGAAUAAACACCUCCACUAUCUUGUUUUCUUACAUUGGCGGUUUUACUCUAGCAGCUUGUUCGCGCCAUCUGAUCGCAUACUCCUUGAAACUCUCAGUGUUCUUUUUUAUACCAGUUAGGGAUUUUUCGUCAGGUAUCAACUCCACAUUGUAUUGAAAUUGUUGCACAAAUCCAUUAGCUAGGUCAUCUCAACUAAUCCACUUGUCAAUGUCUUGAUCAACAAACUAUUCUGAAGCUAGACUUGAAAGACUCUCACCGAAAUAUGCCAUGAGUAAUUCUUCCUUCCCUCCAGCGCUUUUUAGCUGGUUGCAAUAGCGUCUCAAAUGUGCUACAAGAUCGCCAUGACCAUCAUACUUCUCAAACUUCGGCAUUUUAAAACCAAGAGGAAGAUGUACACCAGGAAACAUGCACAGAUCUUUAUAUGAGACACUUUUGUACCCCCCAAGUCCUUGCAAGUUUUUCAUAGUCAGUUCCAAACUUCUCAAUUUUCUGGCUAUUUCCUCUUGUUCUUCUGUCAUAACAGGUUUCUCAGUGUUAGGAGGAAAUUCACGCGGUUGAGGAAAAUCGUAAGGACCAGUCGACUUAAAUGUGGGCUCGANNNNNNNNNNNNNNNNNNNNNNNNNNNNNNNNUGAUCACUAAAAAUAUUCAAUGCAGGCUCUCUUGUAGAGUAGGGAGGCACAAUUUAUGGAUGAACAUCAAAAGUAAGAGCUUCAAGUGGGGGUGGUGCCACAAAAGCAUGAACAACAGCUGGAGCCGAGUAUAUGGUAGUCUUGGAUUGGGGAGUGGGGAAAUGAACCUUAGAAGUGGUUGGAUAUUGUUGCCCCGGAGUCGAUCCUGAUGCAUGUUGUUGCAUAUUAACAAAAAUGGGAAAUUGUGCAUGUGACACGGGAGGCAAGCUAGAAAGAUAUUCCAGAUUAUUAGUGGGAACUGGAAGAGGCGGCAAUCCAUUAGCCAAAGCUCGAUGCAUUUCUAUUAUUUGCCGCCUUAAUUUCUGAAUCUCUUCAUUAUCUCCUACAUUCUCAUUCCCCAAACUCCCUAUCUGAUUAGUGACAACUAGCUCGGUAUCCUUGUUGGCCAUAACUUCCUCUGUGACUUGGAGCAAUAUGAAGGACCAGCCAAAAUUCCACAAACCAACCACCUUAAACUAACUGGACAAGAGAUAGCAAAUGCGUUAAAGUUCAAAGAUUUUUCAAAACCUCUUCUUUUAUUUUUCUUGAAAAAAUCACCGAACCCUAGAAGGGCGCCUAUGUAUCUUACCCCUGAAAGGGGAGAAUCAGGUGUGCGUAGUUCGUGAAAUUUUGCCAAAAUGGCCAAUUAAACUCUUUUUUCUUUCUUGAAACAAAGUGUCAAAAGAAUUAACGAAAAUCUUUUUGCAUUUUUUUUAGGUUUAAAUCUCUAUACAAAAUGAAACCUGUGAUUACCAAAGAAAAAUCUUUUUGGGUUUUCGAUUUUUGAAUUUCAUGUAAAAAUGAAACUUGAACCUAUUAAACGAAAAUCUUUUUGUAGUUUUCUUUUAAAUACGUAUAUGAAACGCCUACUCUAAAUGGAGAGUGAAUAAAUAUUUUUGGAUUUUUCAAAUAAGAUCCCCGAACCAACAAUAGGCUGCCUACGUAUUUCACUCCUGAAAGAGGAGAAUCAGGGGUGCGUAGUUCGUCCAGAUUGGACAAAUAACGACUAAGUAACAGAUUGACCCUAACUUAAGAGACACCACCAAAGACAAACGAAUAAAAUCUUUUUGGGUUUUUAAUUAGACACUUCAACUAAAACUGACACCAACAAUUAUGAAGGAAAAUCUUUUUGGUAUUUUCACUAUAUGAAAUGAACAAAACUUCUAUCAUUUUUCAUUUUCUUUUAUAAAACUGCUAAAAAAAUUCGUUUUUUUGAAAAUUUUGAAUUAUGAAUGCAUGCUAAAGGAGACAAAGUGAGAAAUCUUUUUGAUGUUUUGAUUUUUGAACAAAUGAGUGCAGAAAAUGAAGAAAUCUUUUUGAAUUUUUAACUUGUGAAAAACAAAAGUCAUAAAGAACACUAAAAAGCUACGAAACUUUUUUUUUUCAUGCCUACACACCCUUUUUUAAUUCUAGCACAUUUUUUUUCAAAUCAGUCCAACAAAAGAUCACAUUACUUCUAAAGAUGCAAAAAUUAGCACGAAAUGAUGCCUUAGAGGUGAGUCUCCUACAAAGGACUAAGUGGGCCCCACUAGGUCUCAAUAUGAUGCACAUAAACAUGACCUAAAGGCUGACCUACGUUGGGGUUCACUGACAAGGCUGUUCGGGGGAUCGUAUGAUCGAUAGUGGCUGCGACAGCUUUCCAACUACUCCAUAACACCGACGGCUCCCCCCUAAAAUAAGGGUGACUCAACUAGAGGUCGUGUACAACACGUGUACUACAAACUUGUUGCAGAAAGAAGGCCUGGGGGUAGACACAUGAUGCCAGAUAUAAAAGCGGUAACACAUAGGAUAAGUACUGUAAAGAAAGAGCACGAAAUGGCACAAAAGUGAUAACAAUAACACAAACAAAAAUCACAAACAAUGCUUAUACACUCGUAAUGCCAAACAAAGACGAUACGACUCCAAAAUAAGCUUAAAUUCUGAAAAAUCCCCAGCAGAGUCGCUAGAGCUGUCACACCCCCUUUUUCGUACUCCAAAAGAUUUCAUUUUUAAGGUUCGAAAGGGUUCUUAUUAUUAAAUUGACAAAAGAUGAAAAUUGUUUCGAAAGGGAUUCAUUUUCCAAUUAACUCAGAGUCGCCACUUGGCAUAAAUCGGGUGUGCCAAGUCACCCUUUGAUAUCCUUUUUUCAAAACGGUUUUGACUCUUUAAAACUGAUUUGCGAACAGAGAUUCUGGCUAAGGAAUUCUGUUGACCGAAGGGAAAGUGUUAGGCAUCCCUCGAUCCCAUGGUUCGACCACGGUCGCUUGAUGAAGUGUAUCGGCUAAUUUGACAUUACAAAUAUAUAAACCACACAAAACACAUAAAACAAUCAAUCAAACACACGAAACAAAACAAAUUCCAAAUUUAGUGUUCAGUCCAAUUAUACAGUCCAAAAUAGAAAAGUGCGAAAAAUAGAAAACCUAUUCUAAACUAGUCCUAGACUAAACUCCAAUGCUUUACCUGAUGCCUCGGGCCUUGAUCACGAACGUCCUUCGGAUACAAGAUACUUCGGGGCAUUCCCCGACAAAUAAACAUAAAUACUUCGGGGCAUUCCCCGGCCAAAUGAAUACAUCUGAAUAAGAUAACUAGAAAAACCAUAAAACAAUCAAUCAAACACACGAAACAAAACAAAUUCCAAAUUUAGUGUUCAGUCCAAUUAUACAGUCCAAAAUAGAAAAGUGCGAAAAAUAGAAAACUUAUUCUAAACUAGUCCUAGACUAAACUCCAAUAUUUUACCUGAUGCCUCGGGCCUUGAUCACGAACGUCCUUCGAAUACAAGAUACUUCGGGGCAUUCCCCGACAAAUAAACAUAAAUACUUCGGGGCAUUCCCCGGCCAAAUGAAUACAUCUGAAUAAGAUAACUAGAAAAACGUUCAAAAACGCGCAUGUAGACAUUCAAAGCAUUCAAUCAACACAUCAUGCCUAAAUUUUACCUACCCGAACCUACAUUGCCUAUCCCUUUCAACAUAUCAUAAAUCUAUCACAAUCAUGCUUUUUCCAAAUUAAACAAAAACAACAAUAAAACCAACAUUAAACCAAAUUUAUCAUUUUAUCAAUCUCGUAAUUCCAUCCCAAUUUUUCUUUUAUCAAUCCAUUAAAACAUGAUCAAAUUCAUUCCUCAAACCACCCAAGAUGAAUCGCCAAACAUCAUGAUCAACAUCAACAAAAAUCUAACAAGCAUAAUCACACCAUACAUAAUCACAACCAAUUCAACACACCAAGAUAAAUAAAAAGAGAACGGGUUAAGAAAAUGGACUUUGAUAGCACUUGUUUCCGUUAAUAAUAAAGAAACCCGAGAUCGAAAUACUCGAACGGAGAACCUCAACGGUGAAUCCCAACUCAGUAACCCGAGAUCCUCCGACGGACAGAUUCGGGAAUCAAACAAACACCUCAAAACAAACGACUCCGGCUUGGUAUUGAAAACCAACAACGAAAUCCGAACCCAAUUCUCGACAGAAGAACUAAGAAACCCCGAUAGACUAAACUCAGGUGAGUCAACAGUAACCAACCCGAUGAGAACAAGAUGAAUUCCGUUGAAGUCUUGGCGUUUUCCGAUCAAGACUGCCUAUAAGUCACCGGAAAUGCAGAAAUCUCAGAGUUUUAGGACGGUACCGAAUAGACGAUGAAUUAUAAACUAAUUCCGGCAGAAAAUUCACCGGAAAAACUCGAGAAAUACAACCAGAUCUCGCCGGCCUCUCUCUAUUUUCGCCGGAUCAGCGUCAACCACGGCGAUUUCACUGUUCGUCUCCGCUGAGUGCGUGUGUGCAGUUUUUUAGCGAUUUGGGUGUAUGUCUGUGUAUUCGUGUACCUACGUGUGCCUAUGAACGAUGGUGAAGGUGAGUGCCUUCUGGUUUUGUGCGUGAGUGGUGAGGUCAAUGAAGAAGAUGAUCUAUUUCUCUUUUUUUAGUGUUGUGCCUCUAUUCCUCCUUUUAGAAGAUGAAAAAAAAAAUGGUGUAUAUCAGUUGGGUUCCCUUUUUUGUGUGUUGCUGUGUGGGACACGUGAGUGGGGUGAGGGGUAGGGGUAGGGGUAGGGGUAGGGGUAGGGUAGGUGAGGGUAUGGGUAUGGGUAUGGGGUGGUGAUGUGUGAGGUGUCCACUUUUAAUUGAAGAGGUUGUUAGAAUAGGAUUAAAACAAUGUAAAAUUUUGUUAAGGGUUGUUAUUUUUGUCAUUUUAUGAAGUGAUAAUCACGUGGAUGAGGGUGUGUGGUAAUGUGAGAUAAAAAUGAAUAAGAG